rnacentral:rRNA from 1 species
AUUGAACGCUGGCGGCAGGCUUAACACAUGCAAGUCGAGCGGGGUGAUGGUGCUUGCACUAUCACUUAGCGGCGGACGGGUGAGUAAUGCUUAGGAAUCUGCCUAUUAGUGGGGGACAACAUCUCGAAAGGGAUGCUAAUACCGCAUACGUCCUACGGGAGAAAGCAGGGGAUCACUUGUGACCUUGCGCUAAUAGAUGAGCCUAAGUCGGAUUAGCUAGUUGGUGGGGUAAAGGCCUACCAAGGCGACGAUCUGUAGCGGGUCUGAGAGGAUGAUCCGCCACACUGGGACUGAGACACGGCCCAGACUCCUACGGGAGGCAGCAGUGGGGAAUAUUGGACAAUGGGGGGAACCCUGAUCCUGCCAUGCCGCGUGUGUGAAGAAGGCCUUAUGGUUGUAAAGCACCUUAAGCGAGGAGGAGGCUCUUUUGGUUAAUACCCAAGAUGAGUGGACGUUACUCGCAGAAUAAGCACCGGCUAACUCUGUGCCAGCAGCCGCAGUAA